CUAAUUUGACACCGUUAUGUGGUGAUCAUGGAGUAGGGGCAAACAUGGAGUUCGUUUUUAAAAAGCAAGGGUAAAAUCACAAAGUGGACAAAAUCAUGGGCAAAAUCACAAUUGAAGUUCAAAAUAGGGGCAAGAAUGCAAUAGCCCUUAUUAACAAUGAUAGAAAGAAGAAAUUUAUAAUCAUAUAUUUGUGUAUUUUGGGAUAACAUGAAGGUAAUCUACAUUCAUAUUUAGAUGUUAUUUAAGGUUUUUUUUUAUAACAAUGGAUGCUCGUAAUUGAGAUGCAAAUUUAUGCUGUUAAUUUUGUAUGAUAGUUCGGGAGGGUAUUUAGACAAAGAUUAGGUGUUACUUUAGGUUAUUUUUCGUAAUGGUAUAGCUGAGUAAAUUAGACGUAGAUGUAGAGAUUAAUUUAUGUGGGUUAAUUUUUAUAAUGAUACGUGUGGUUAAUUUUUAGAAAAAUUAAUAGAUCCAAUGGCUAUAAUGAUUAGAGUUAUCUAUGUUUCUAAUUUUGUGAUAAUUUUAAUGAUUUAUUUUUUUCGAACAUUUCUCGUGAGCAUUAACGUGGAGGGAGCCUGCAAUUAUCCAAUUAGUAAGAUCGUUCUUUUUUUGUGUGGGCUUAGAUGCCUUUUGCAGUAGUGCAAAUAGUUUCCUUUUGAAAUAAAAUUACAUCAAACCACAUAAUAAUGAUGAUCGUUUAAACGUGUUCUCCCUACUGCAUUUCGAUUUCCUUUCAGCUGUACCAGUACAAACAUACACAGUACAACAAAGCGCAGAACCAGCAAACCUAUAUCCACACAGCGGUCGAUCGAUCGAUGGAUCUACACGCGUGUUCGUAUAGAAAGGAAAAGGCACACGAUUCAUUGCACAUAGCGUGACCGGAAUCCCAUCAGUCCGAC
rnacentral:lncRNA from 1 species